rnacentral:rRNA from 1 species
UACAGAGGGUGCGAGCGUUGUCCGGAAUCACUGGGCGUAAAGGGCGCGUAGGCGGCUUUUCACGCGUGCGGUGAAAGCUCGGGGCUUAACUCCGAGUCUGCCGUGCGAACGGGGAGGCUUGAGUCUGGUAGAGGUCGAUGGAAUUCCGGGUGUAGCGGUGGAAUGCGUAGAUAUCGGAAGGAACAUCAGUGGCGAAAGCGGCUUCCUGGACCAGUACCGACGUUCAGGCACGAAAGCGUGGGGAGCAAACAGG